rnacentral:rRNA from 1 species
UACGUAGGGGGCGAGCGUUGUCCGGAUUCAUUGGGCGUAAAGAGCUCGUAGGCGGUUUGGCAAGUCGGGUGUGAAAUCUCCGGGCUCAACCUCGGAGAGGCCACUCGAUACUGCUAUGACUAGAGUCCGGUAGGGGACUAUGGGAAUUCCUGGUGUAGCGGUGAAAUGCGCAGAUAUCAGGAGGAACACCGGUGGCGAAGGCGGUAGUCUGGGCCGGUACUGACGCUGAGGAGCGAAAGCGUGGGGAGCGAACAGGA